GACAGAGGGUGCAAACGUUGUUCGGAAUUACUGGGCGUAAAGGGCUCGUAGGUGGCCAACUAAGUCAGACGUGAAAUCCCUCAGCUUAACUGGGGAACUGCGUCUGAUACUGGAUGGCUUGGAUUUGGGAGAGGAAUGCGGAAUUCCAGGUGUAGCGGUGAAAUGCGUAGAUAUCUGGAGGAACACCGGUGGCGAAGGCGGCAUUCUGGACCAAUAUUGACGCUGAGGAGCGAAAGCCAGGGGAGCAAACGGG
rnacentral:rRNA from 1 species